CAAAUUCGAAUCAUAAUUCUUUAGACUGCCGCUCCAUAAACAUCUACAGAUACGUAUUUGUUUGUGUGAUACUUGUGAUUGUCCGCAGGCAUGUUGUGGUCUUUUGAGUAGUUAGACAUUUGUGAGAUCGUUUUUGUGUGAAACUGAAGGAGAUGUUAAAGGCUCUACUUGAUACUCGCACAAUGCGAUAGCAAAUAUGCCGAAUCUAUUUUUGUGAAGUUGUUCCUUUUAAUUUGCGUUCUCAACUGCCAAGUCAAGAUGUGCUCUACUUUUUCCGAUCCGUGUUGCAGUCCUGUUUGCAGUCCUGGUUGCGGUCCGUGUGGCAGUCCGUGUGGCAGUCCGUGUUGCAGUGCGUGUUGCAGUUCGUGUUGCGGCCCCUGUAUCAGUCCCUGCUAUAUGUAUUGUUGCAGUCAGAGUUGCAGCCCCUGCUGCACCGCUUGCUGUACCGCGUGCUGCUAUACAAGCUGCUCAUCCCGCGGCUGUUACCCAUGCUAAUGGAUGGAGUAGAGUGGAGCGCAGCCUCACGCUGCCUGGAACACGUGCUUCACAAUCGUAUUGUUAGAUACUCGCCCCAGACUACGACUUAAGGCUACAAUAAUGGUUAAGCAAUACGUGGACAACAGCUAAAAAUACCUAUUAAAGCGCGGAGA